AGCUCCAAUAGCGUAUAUUAAAGUUGUUGCGGUUAAAAAGCUCGUAGUUGGUUCUGUGUGCCACGCUGUCGGUUCACCGCCUGCCGGUGCAACUGACAUGCCGUGGGAUGUCUUGCCGGAGGGGGCCGAAACCCUUCAGCGGCUUCCCGUUGUUGGGCUCAGGUCCUCGCAAUGCUGCCACGGUGCUCUUCACCGAGUGUCGGGGCAGGCCGACAAGAAUAAUGGAAUAUGACCUUGUUUCUGUUUUGUUGGCUUUCGGAAUUCACGGUAAUGAUCAAUGUGGACAGGCGGGGGCAUUCGUAUUGCGACGUUAGAGGUGAAAUUCUUGGAUCGUCGCAAGACGAACUAGAGCGAAAGCAUUUGCCAAGUAUGUCUUAG
rnacentral:rRNA from 1 species